UAAGUGUACAUUUGUAAUAUAUGUAUUUGUGUAUUAAAUAGAUAUUCAUUAUAUUUAUUAUUUAAUUAAUUGAUAUUAUAUUAUUAUAUUAAUGAAUAAACUAAUAAAUUGACAAAUGUAAGGUGAUAAUAAAAUACAAGUGUAAUGAAUCAUAUACAUACAAUUAUAAUAUAUUUAUUUACUUAUUAUUUAAGAAAUAAUAGUAUAUAUUAAGUUAAUAUAAUAAAAUAAUAAACAAAAGUAAAAUAAAAAGAAACAAAGCAAAAGAAACAGAAAACAUUC
rnacentral:lncRNA from 1 species